rnacentral:rRNA from 1 species
AGUGAACGCUGGCGGUAGGCCUAACACAUGCAAGUCGAACGGCAGCACAGUAAGAGCUUGCUCUUACGGGUGGCGAGUGGCGGACGGGUGAGGAAUACAUCGGAAUCUACUUUUUCGUGGGGGAUAACGUAGGGAAACUUACGCUAAUACCGCAUACGACCUACGGGUGAAAGCAGGGGAUCUUCGGACCUUGCGCGAUUGAAUGAGCCGAUGUCGGAUUAGCUAGUUGGCGGGGUAAAGGCCCACCAAGGCGACGAUCCGUAGCUGGUCUGAGGGGAUGGUCGGCCACACUGGAACUGAGACACGGUCCAGACUCCUACGGGAGGCAGCAGUGGGGAAUAUUGGACAAUGGGCGCAAGCCUGAUCCAGCCAUACCGCGUGGGUGAAGAAGGCCUUCGGGUUGUAAAGCCCUUUUGUUGGGAAAGAAAAGCAGCAGGUUAAUACCCCGCUGUUCUGACGGUACCCAAAGAAUAAGCACCGGCUAACUUCGU